rnacentral:rRNA from 1 species
CCUACGGGGGGCAGCAGUGGGGAAUAUUGGGCAAUGGAGGCAACUCUGACCCAGCAACGCCGCGUGAAUGAUGAAGGUCUUCGGAUUGUAAAGUUCUUUUAUAAAGGAAUAAAGUGAGGCACGUGUGCCUUUUUGUAUGUACUUUAUGAAUAAGGAUCGGCUAACUCCGUGCCAGCAGCCGCGGUAAUACGGAGGAUCCGAGCGUUAUCCGGAUUUAUUGGGUUUAAAGGGAGCGUAGAUGGGUUGUUAAGUCAGUUGUGAAAGUUUGCGGCUCAACCGUAAAAUUGCAAUUGAUACUGGCAGCCUUGAGUACAGUUGAGGUAGGCGGAAUGCGUGGUGUAGCGGUGAAAUGCUUAGAUAUCACGAAGAACUCCGAUUGCGAAGGCAGCCUACUAAACUGCCACUGACAUUGAUGCUCGAAAGUGUGGGUAUCAAACAGGAUUAGAUACCCCAGUAGUC